UCUGAUGAUAGAACCAGAGUCAACUGGUGUUUGAAGCAUAUGGCAAAGGCAUCAGAAAUCAGGCAAGAUCUACAACUUCUCACUGUAGAGGACCUUGUAGUGGGGAUCUACCAACAAAAAUUUCUCAAGGAGCCCUCUAAGACUUGGAUUCGAAGCCUCCUAGAUGUGGCCAUGUGGGAUUAUUCUAGCAACACAAGGUAUUGCUAGCAUUUUUGUUUUAGAGUCAUUUUGACUUAUUUUCUAAACUAAGAAAAUAUGGUAGGACUAUUUUUGCCUUUUUAUGCAAUAUUUUCCCAUGAAAGCUUGGAAUCAUUGUAUUUCCCUGAAUAUAAAAUUUCAUUGAUAGUAAGAUAUAUUGUUACUUGUGUAUCACUAAAAACAAACCUGCCAAAUAAACUGUUCUUUCUUAUCACUUA
rnacentral:sRNA from 1 species